rnacentral:rRNA from 1 species
GGGUUGUGAGGUUAAGCGACUAAGCGUACACGGUGGAUGCCCUGGCAGUCAGAGGCGAUGAAGGACGUGCUAAUCUGCGAUAAGCGCCGGUAAGGUGAUAUGAACCGUUAUAACCGGCGAUUUCCGAAUGGGGAAACCCAGUGUGAUUCGUCACACUAUCAUUAACUGAAUCCAUAGGUUAAUGAGGCGAACCGGGGGAACUGAAACAUCUAAGUACCCCGAGGAAAAGAAAUCAACCGAGAUUCCCCCAGUAGCGGCGAGCGAACGGGGAGGAGCCCAGAGCCUGAAUCAGCAUGUGUGUUAGUGGAAGCGUCUGGAAAGGUGCGCGAUACAGGGUGACAGCCCCGUACACAAAAGCGCAUGUGCUGUGAGCUCGAUGAGUAGGGCGGGACACGUGGUAUCCUGUCUGAAUAUGGGGGGACCAUCCUCCAAGGCUAAAUACUCCUGACUGACCGAUAGUGAACCAGUACCGUGAGGGAAAGGCGAAAAGAACCCCGGCGAGGGGAGUGAAAAAGAACCUGAAACCGUGUACGUACAAGCAGUGGGAGCACAGGUUUACCUGUGUGACUGCGUACCUUUUGUAUAAUGGGUCAGCGACUUAUAUUCUGUAGCAAGGUUAACCGUAUAGGGGAGCCGUAGGGAAACCGAGUCUUAACCGGGCGUUAAGUUGCAGGGUAUAGACCCGAAACCCGGUGAUCUAGCCAUGGGCGGUUGAAGGUUGGGUAACACUAACUGGAGGACCGAACCGACUAAUGUUGAAAAAUUAGCGGAUGACCUGUGGCUGGGGGUGAAAGGCCAAUCAAACCGGGAGAUAGCUGGUUCUCCCCGAAAGCUAUUUAGGUAGCGCCUCGUGAAUUCAUCUCCGGGGGUAGAGCACUGUUUCGGCUAGGGGGCCAUCCCGGCUUACCAACCCGAUGCAAACUGCGAAUACCGGAGAAUGUUAUCACGGGAGACACACGGCGGGUGCUAACGUCCGUCGUGAAGAGGGAAACAACCCAGACCGCCAGCUAAGGUCCCAAAGUCAUGGUUAAGUGGGAAACGAUGUGGGAAGGCCCAGACAGCCAGGAUGUUGGCUUAGAAGCAGCCAUCAUUUAAAGAAAGCGUAAUAGCUCACUGGUCGAGUCGGCCUGCGCGGAAGAUGUAACGGGGCUAAACCAUGCACCGAAGCUGCGGCAGCGAACGUAUCACUUAAAGCGAUUCAGCGGGUUACGAUUGACGGAGCGAAGCGACGUCAAAGCGUAUACAAAGUCGAGUCGGUUUAAGGAUACGUUCGUUGGGUAGGGGAGCGUUCUGUAAGCCCGUGAAGGUGGCCUGUGAGGGUUGCUGGAGGUAUCAGAAGUGCGAAUGCUGACAUAAGUAACGAUAAAGCGGGUGAAAAGCCCGCUCGCCGGAAGACCAAGGGUUCCUGUCCAACGUUAAUCGGGGCAGGGUGAGUCGACCCCUAAGGCGAGGCCGAAAGGCGUAGUCGAUGGGAAACGGGUUAAUAUUCCCGUACUUGGUGUUACUGCGAAGGGGGGACGGAGAAGGCUAUGUUGGCCGGGCGACGGUUGUCCCGGUUUAAGCGUGUAGGUGUGUGUUCCAGGUAAAUCCGGUUCACUUUAACACUGAGGCGUGACGACGAGGCACUACGGUGCUGAAGCAACAAAUGCCCUGCUUCCAGGAAAAGCCUCUAAGCAUCAGGUAACAUCAAAUCGUACCCCAAACCGACACAGGUGGUCAGGUAGAGAAUACCAAGGCGCUUGAGAGAACUCGGGUGAAGGAACUAGGCAAAAUGGUGCCGUAACUUCGGGAGAAGGCACGCUGACACGUAGGUGAAGUGAUUUACUCAUGGAGCUGAAGUCAGUCGAAGAUACCAGCUGGCUGCAACUGUUUAUUAAAAACACAGCACUGUGCAAACACGAAAGUGGACGUAUACGGUGUGACGCCUGCCCGGUGCCGGAAGGUUAAUUGAUGGGGUCAGCGCAAGCGAAGCUCCUGAUCGAAGCCCCGGUAAACGGCGGCCGUAACUAUAACGGUCCUAAGGUAGCGAAAUUCCUUGUCGGGUAAGUUCCGACCUGCACGAAUGGCGUAAUGAUGGCCAGGCUGUCUCCACCCGAGACUCAGUGAAAUUGAACUCGCUGUGAAGAUGCAGUGUACCCGCGGCAAGACGGAAAGACCCCGUGAACCUUUACUAUAGCUUGACACUGAACAUUGAGCCUUGAUGUGUAGGAUAGGUGGGAGGCUUUGAAGUGUGGACGCCAGUCUGCAUGGAGCCGACCUUGAAAUACCACCCUUUAAUGUUUGAUGUUCUAACGUGGACCCGUAAUCCGGGUUGCGGACAGUGUCUGGUGGGUAGUUUGACUGGGGCGGUCUCCUCCUAAAGAGUAACGGAGGAGCACGAAGGUUGGCUAAUCCUGGUCGGACAUCAGGAGGUUAGUGCAAUGGCAUAAGCCAGCUUGACUGCGAGCGUGACGGCGCGAGCAGGUGCGAAAGCAGGUCAUAGUGAUCCGGUGGUUCUGAAUGGAAGGGCCAUCGCUCAACGGAUAAAAGGUACUCCGGGGAUAACAGGCUGAUACCGCCCAAGAGUUCAUAUCGACGGCGGUGUUUGGCACCUCGAUGUCGGCUCAUCACAUCCUGGGGCUGAAGUAGGUCCCAAGGGUAUGGCUGUUCGCCAUUUAAAGUGGUACGCGAGCUGGGUUUAGAACGUCGUGAGACAGUUCGGUCCCUAUCUGCCGUGGGCGCUGGAGAACUGAGGGGGGCUGCUCCUAGUACGAGAGGACCGGAGUGGACGCAUCACUGGUGUUCGGGUUGUCAUGCCAAUGGCACUGCCCGGUAGCUAAAUGCGGAAGAGAUAAGUGCUGAAAGCAUCUAAGCACGAAACUUGCCCCGAGAUGAGUUCUCCCUGAGACUUAGAGUCUCCUGAAGGAACGUUGAAGACGACGACGUUGAUAGGCCGGGUGUGUAAGCGCAGCGAUGCGUUGAGCUAACCGGUACUAAUGAACCGUGAGGCUUAACCUUACAACGCCGAAG